UAGGAAGAUGGCGUGGGUAAGCCUGUGACU
rnacentral:piRNA from 1 species